AGUGAACGCUGGCGGUAGGCCUAACACAUGCAAGUCGAACGGCAGCACAGAGGAGCUUGCUCCUUGGGUGGCGAGUGGCGGACGGGUGAGGAAUACAUCGGAAUCUACUCUGUCGUGGGGGAUAACGUAGGGAAACUUACGCUGAUACCGCAUACGACCUACGGGUGAAAGCAGGGGAUCUUCGGACCUUGCGCGAUUGAAUGAGCCGAUGUCGGAUUAGCUAGUUGGCGGGGUAAAGGCCCACCGAGGCGACGAUCCGUAGCUGGUCUGAGAGGAUGAUCAGCCACACUGGAACUGAGACACGGUCCAGACUCCUACGGGAGGCAGCAGUGGGGAAUAUUGGACAAUGGGCGCAAGCCUGAUCCAGCCAUACCGCGUGGGUGAAGAAGGCCUUCGGGUUGUAAAGCCCUUUUGUUGGGAAAGAAAUCCAUCUGGUUAAUACCCGGGUGGGAUGACGGUACCCAAAGAAUAAGCACCGGCUAACUUCGUGCCAGCAGCCGCAGUAA
rnacentral:rRNA from 1 species